rnacentral:rRNA from 1 species
UACGAAGGGGGCUAGCGUUGUUCGGAAUUACUGGGCGUAAAGCGCACGUAGGCGGCUUUGUAAGUUAGAGGUGAAAGCCCGGGGCUCAACCCCGGAAUUGCCUUUAAGACUGCAUCGCUUGAAUCCGGGAGAGGUGAGUGGAAUUCCGAGUGUAGAGGUGAAAUUCGUAAGAUAUUCGGAAGAACACCAGUGGCGAAGGCGGCUCACUGGACCGGUAUUGACG